rnacentral:rRNA from 1 species
GGAUUAGCGGCGAACGGGUGAGGAACACGUGAGGAAUCUGCCUUCAACACUGGGAUAACUCCGGGAAACCGGGGCUAAUACCGGAUACGAGACCUGCAGGCAUCUGCGGGUCUGGAAAGUUUUUCGGUUGAAGAUGACCUCGCGGCCUAUCAGCUUGUUGGUGAGGUAAUGGCUCACCAAGGCGACGACGGGUAGCCGGCCUGAGAGGGCGACCGGCCACACUGGGACUGAGACACGGCCCAGACUCCUACGGGAGGCAGCAGUGGGGAAUAUUGGGCAAUGGAGGAAACUCUGACCCAGCGACGCCGCGUGCGGGAUGAAGGCCUUCGGGUUGUAAACCGCUUUCAGCAAGGAAGAAGCGAAAGUGACGGUACUUGCAGAAGAAGCACCGGCUAACUAUGUGCCAGCAGCCGCGGUAAUACAUAGGGUGCAAGCGUUGUCCGGAAUUAUUGGGCGUAAAGAGCUCGUAGGUGGUUCGUCACGUCGGAUGUGAAAAUCUGGGGCUU